UUUUUUUUUUUUUUUUUUUUUUUUUUUUUUGCCGCUUCCAUGACAUAUGGAAGUGCCUGGGCCAGGGAUUGAACCUGUACCACAGCAGUGAAGGAAAGACAAUUUUUAACAUUUGCAUCAUAUGUCAUAUUUUGAGCAUUCCUUCAUCAACUUUUUUUCAUUUAGGGUAUUUAGACUGUUUUCAAUUUUUUCUCAUUUUAAAUAACACUGCAGUGAACAUCUUUUUGUAUGUGUCUCUGCUGUACACUUUUUUUUGUCUUUUUAGGGCCACACCCAUGGCAUAUGGAAGUUCCUAGUCUAGGGGUUGAAUCAGAGCUGCAGCUGCCGGCCUACACCACUGUCACAGCAACUCAGGAUCUGAGCCGAAUCUGCCACCUACGCCACAGCUCACUGCAACACUGGAUCCUUAACCCACUGAGCGAGGCUAGAGAUUAAACCUGCAUCUUCGUAGAUGCUAUUUGGGUUCAUUACUGCUGAGCCAUGAUGGAAACUCCCAUGCUGUACACUUUUUAAAGUAAAGAAUUCAAGAACAAACCCAAGAAUAAAGAAAUAAAGAUCAAACCCUUCCUGCUCAACACAUUGUCUCCUUUGCUGAAUUUGACACAUGGAAACAUCUCUGAUUCUGGAAAAAACAAAAAACAAAAACAAAUCUCCAACAUGAACUGAGCUAAUAAAAUUCUGCCAAAUUCAGCUCAAGUUGGCCUUGAUCUUUGUGACUGUAACUAGAAUAGUGGUUUUGUGGACAAACGGAUUGUCUUUCUGUCCAACUUUUUGAGCUUCAAUUUACUCCUCCAUUAAAUGGGAGUAAUAAUAGUACCAGCUUCAAAGAGCUUUUUCAUGGAAUAAGUGAGAUGAUGCUUGCAAAGUUCUCUGCACCUAUCGAAAACAACAAAAAAUUUAAAGUAUAGUAAAAUGUUAAUGAUGGAAACUUGCUGGGUUUAUGGAUUCCCUACAUAACCAUUUCAAUUUGUCUGUAUGUUUGAAAGUUUUCAUAAUGAAAGGUUGGGAAAGAAAAACUUCAUAGAUAACUGAACUGUGGAUCUCAUGAUUGUUUCCUAUAAAGAGAAUGGGGCAAAUCUCAGAGAAAGUCAGGUGCAAGGUAAAUACAUCACACCAAGUUUGAAAUGUGGAAUCUGUUCCUUGGGUACCACAUUAAAUGUAUGUAUUUGGAGCUUCCUUGAGUGUAGAAAAGUGUGACCAGAACUUGUGUGAGUGCUAGAAAGGACUGUUGGUUAUUUUACCAUCUGGUUUCAGAAUAUAAACCACACAGUGGGGAUAGCAUAUGCUGUAGAUGCAGUGUUUUUUUUUUUUAAGUUUAAGAGAUUAAAAAAUUAUAUCUAUAUCUAUAUCUAUGUAUGUAUCUCUCUAUAUAUAUUGUUUGCAAAGUUACUUUGUAGCAUUUAGAAAAAAAACGCUUGAUUCAGAGUCAAAUGCAUCUGAAUUGCAACCCUUUUCAUCUGCUUAGUAGUUGUGUAACAUUUGGGUGAGUCACCUCUCCUUUUUGGGCCUUAGUUUUCACGCCCGUAAAAUGGGGCUGAUAAUAGUAUCUUCAUCACAGAGAUGAGUGGAUUGAGAGCACAUAAAAGUGCUUGAUGACCAGCUUGGCACAGGUGAAGUUUAGUGCCAGCCUAAUUGUCUCCUUUCUUUUUUUUCUUUUUUCUUUUUUUUUUGUCUUUUGUCCUUUUAGGGCCUCACCCACGACACAUGGAUGUUCCCAGGACUAGGGGUCUAAUUGGAGCCACAGGUGCCAGCCUACGCCAGAGACAUAGCAACUCCAGAUCCUGUCUGCAACCUAUACCACAGCUCAUGCCAAUGCCGGAUCCUUAACCCACUGAGCAGGGCCAGGGAUCGAACCUCCAACCUCAUGGUUCCUAGGCUAGGGGUCGAAUCGGAGCUGUAGCUGCUGGCCUACACCACAGCCACAGCAACAUGGGAUCCGAGCCACAUCUGCAACCUACACCACAGCUCAAGGCAACGCUGGAUCCCUAACUCACUGAGCGAGGCCAGGGAUCGAACCCGCACCUUCAUGGUUCCUAGUCGGAUUCGUUAACCACUGCGCCAUGACGGGAACUCCAAUACUGAGAUUUUUAAAAAUACUCCCCAUCCCCUCUUCCCUACUGUAAACAUCUUACAUCAUCUUGGAACAUUUGUCAAAAUUAAGAAAUUAGUAUUGGUAUAUUAUUCCUGUUAAAUUUCAGACUUUAUUUGGACUUCACUGGUUCUCCUCUAGUGUCCUUUCUGUUCUAGGUUCUCUCACACCACAUUACAUUUAGCUGUAUCACCUUGCAAUUUGUGUGUGCGUAUUUGUGUAUGUGUGUGUGUAUAUGUAUAUAUGUGUGCAUGUAUAUAUAUACCCCUUUAUUUGGGAACAAUGAAAGAAUAUGUGUCUAUAUGUAUAUCUGCCUCUGCCAUGAAUAGCUAGAUGCUUUCCCUCUGGGGGACUUAGGUUUCUUAUCUAUAAAAUAAGUGAGUAGGGCAAGAGAUUGGUGAGCUCCCUCUUUUAAGUCCAGGUAUCCCUGUUUUUCAGGGGAGAAGAAAAUUAGGAAGUUGAAUUAGGAUGCAAAGGUGCUUUUAAACACAAUUCUGAAAAUGUUAAAAUAGAUGCCUUAGCUCCAAGGAGUCCCUUUUGGCCUCAUUAAGGAAAGGUACAAAGAUCCGAUCACAUCUUCCAACUGGGGACUCCCAACUCCCGUGGCCACUGGGGAUGGAGGCAUUUGGUCUUUUCCAUUUCUCUCUACUAGGAUUUGUUUUUGUUGUCAAGGCUUGGAGUAGAGCAGAGGGAGAUUUUUGUCUAAAUUCUUAGAGAAGAAAAGAAACGUAAAUCCUGAAUUCUCUCUCUCUCUCUUUUUUUUUUUUUUUUUUGUCUUUUUAGGGCUGCACCUGCAGCAUAUGGAGGUUCCUAGGCUAGGGGUCUAAUUGGAGCUGUAGCCACAGGCCUACACCAUAGCCACAGCAAUGCCAGAUCCAAGCCGAGUCUGCGACCUACACCAUAGCUCACGGCAACGCCAGAUCCUUAACCCACUGAGUAAGGCCAGGGAUCAAACCCAGAACCUCACAGUUCCUAGUCGGAUUCAUUAGCCACUGAGCCAUGACAGGAACUCCUCAUUUAUUUUAUUAUUUAUGACCUCCAGCUCUCUGGUGCGGAGGACAAAACCUGUAGUUGAUCUCCAUUUUUUACUAGCUGGUUUAGUUUUAAGUUCAUGGCAACUUGCACAAGCUAUGCCAAUUGAUUAAGCUUUAGAUAGUAGAAGUCACAUCUGAGGUCUGUUGCCACAGACCGUUGGCAUGAACUUACUUAUUCAGAAUUGUGUCCAUGGCAGGUACAUUCUGUCCAUGGUUUGCUAAAAGAUCAGGCACUACUGUCACUUCUUCCAGGAAGCAUUCCUCAGGCCCCCGGUAAAUGCACUCAAAGCACCCACAUCAUAGCCCUCAGCACUCAGCAUACUUGCCAUCAUUUAAAUAAUUUGUUAUAAUUUGAUUAAUGUCUGUCUUUCCUUGUUGUUCUCAAUGGGUGAAAUUUUAUUCCCCAGGGGACAUUCGGCAAUGUCUGAAGACACUUUUGGUUGUCACAGCUGGGGCGUGGGUCCCACUGGUGUUUAGUCAGUAGAGACCAGCAAUGCUCCUAAACAUCCGCAGCACACAGGUCAGCUCCCACAGCAAAGGAUCACUCAUCCCACUGUCCAAAGUGUCGAGAAACCCUGCUGUGGAUUGCGACUUGCACGAGGGCAGAGACCUUGUCUGUUUUGUUCACCCCUGACCCUGGGCCUCACGUAAGGUCUGUGCAGAAGAGGCAUUUGGUGCACAGUCUAAUCUGUUCUCUGGGGCUGAGGUGACAUCAGAUUAAACUUUGUUUUCCAAGGCUGAACCCAGGCCUUAACAUUUAGUAAAUAAGCAAUGCUGAAUGAACGAACGAAUGAACGAACCCAUCUACCCAUCCCUCCAUCCACUUACCCAUCCACUCAUCAUCCAUCUGUUUAUGAAUGAUCCAAGUGGGCCCUUCUUCAUUCCAGGAAUACUUUGGUAGUUGUCUUCUUUUUCUUUAGCUGUACCUGUGGCAUUCAGAAGUUCCCAGGCUAGGGACUGAACCUGCACCUCAGCAGUGAAAACGCAGAAUCCUUAACCGGCUAGGCCACCCGGGAGCUCCUGGUAGUUGUCCUCCAGCACCAUGGUUUUACUAAUACCCAACAAUGUGAUCUUAUGAAUUUGACAUGUAUUUUUCCAGGUGAGCAUUGUGCAAUAGAAUUUUCUGCAGCUAUGGAAAUGUUAUAUAUCUGUGCAGCCCAAUACAGUAGCCCUUAGUCGCACAUGACUACUGAACACCUGAAAUGUGGCUAGUGCAAUUUUACUUAAUUCUCUUAAUUGCUAUUUAUUUAUUUUUUAUUUUUAUUUUUUCUCUUUUUGCCAUUUCGUGGGCCGUUCCCGCGGCAUAUGGAGGUUCCCAGGCUAGGGGUCCAAUUGGAGCUGUAGCUGCAAGCCUACGCCACAACCACAGCAAGGUGGGAUCCUUAAUACACUGAGCAAGGGCAGGGAUCGAACCCGAAACCUCAUGGUUCCUAGUGGGAUUCGUUAACCACUGAGCCACAACGGGAACUCCUUAAUUGCUAUUUAAAUAGCCAAUAGACAGCAUAGUUCUGGACAUCUUAAGAGUUUUUUAUAUUCUGUAUCAUAUCACAUGGUGUAUAUAUUGUACCCAUGUAAGAACAGGAGUGGUGUAUACAUUUUUAUAGAAAUAUAUUUGUCACAGUUUUCUGCAACUCAGCUCUUGGGUUCAUUCUGGUUUUGACAUCUAUCUGCUAUCAUAAUAUCUAAUAUCAUCUAUUAGAUCCAGCUCAUUCCUUUUAUCUUCUGCAUUGUGCUUCAUGGUAUGACCAUGAUGUGCUUUAUUAGCCAUUUUCCUACUCAUGAAUAUUUUAGUUUUUUCUAAUUAUUAUUAUGUUUUCUUCUGUAACCAGUGCUGCAAUGGAUGUCUUUGAAUGUCUCCCUGGGCUUCUCCUUGGUUGCUCUCAGGAUUGGAAUUGCUGGGUCAUAGAGCAUACCUAAGUUUAACUUUGCCAGUUCCUGCCAAAAUCAUGCCCCAAUUUUUUUCACCUUUAAAUGAGAGGGCUUCAGUGAUUUCUAAGGUUUCUUUCCCCCAGCUCUCAAAUGCAGUCAGUCUGAAACAAUAGAGGGGAGAGGCAGACUUUCAUCUCUUGGCAGUGACCUCAUAUAUACUGUGCUCAGUCAGAUGCAGCGGAAACAGAUAAUAUCCAGGGUCAUGUGUUCCCCGUUGUUCCCUCCGUAGGUCCCUGGGAAGAGAAAGCUCCAUAAAACACCAGAUCAGAUUUUCUUUUAAUCCUCUAAGUAAUGAAGUGGAUGAAAGUUUCUGACAGUGGAAAACUCCAAUUAUUCAAUUACAUUAAAAUAAAUCUGUCACUAGACUUGGAAACUCAAGCUUUGCUUGCUCAGAUAGCUACAAAGUAAAAAGGUUUCCAUGCUACGCACAAUUUUUCUAACUCCCCCCAUGUGAUUAUGAUUUAGAGUCAUUUUAGCCGCUCACACCUGCUUUACCCAACUGUUAAUAUCAAGGCAGUGAAUGAUAAAACAGUUUGUAAGAGGAAGCCUAUCUAAUUCCGGUAAAGACCUCAUUUCUACGUGUUUUGAAUGUGUCCAUUGUCUCUGGGCAGUAACCGCAAUUCAGGAUAUCAGAAUACAUACAUGUGCAGGCAAAUCUAUAUCAUAUCCUUUAGAAAUUAAAGAUACAAUGGACAUUGACAUCUUGUUCAUGACUCAUGUCCUCAUGAGAGGGCUUUAACCCACUUAUCUGAGUGGGGGAAAUUAUUAGGAUGGUAUGGGCUUUUCCAUCAUCAUCGCCUUCAUUGUAGCUGCUAAGGACAGGGAUUGUAUUCUUAAGAAUGUAUAUAAAAAUAUAUAAGAUGAUAGCUCACUGUUGAUUCUUUACUGACCUUACCUCUGGAUAUUAGGAUGAUUUCUGCUAAAAACAUAACUUUAGAACAAGACAAAAUGAUUCGGUGGUUUCCCUCCCACCGAAUAAAAAAAGUUCCUUAUUACAGAAGCUUUGGAAAUUAUGAUAGAAAAGCAGAAGGAAGAAUACAAGGAUGAUCACUAUUACUAUUUUGGUGUAGUUCCUUCCCGUUUUUCUUUUUUUCCUUUUUUUGAGGGCGGAGGGGGGCAGUCAUGCCUGUAGCAUGUGCAAGUUCUCAAAAACAUGCCACACAUUAGUGACCUGGAUCGCUGCACUGACAACACAGGAUCCUUAACCCGCUAUGGCACAGCAGAACUCCAAAUUUUUAAAAUACUGAAAAGUAGGGAAGUUCCUGUCGUGGCUCAGUGGAAAUGAAUCUGACUAGCUUCCAGGAGGGUGCAGGCCUCGAUCCCUGGCCUCACUCAGUGGGUUAAGGAGCCAACAUUGCAGUGAGCUGUGGCAUAGGCCUACAGCUGUAGCUCCCAUUGGACCCCUAGCCUGGGAACCUCCGUAUGCUGUGGCUGCGGCCCUAAAAAAAAAAAAAAAAAAA
rnacentral:lncRNA from 1 species